rnacentral:rRNA from 1 species
GGAGGGAGCGAGCGUUGUUCGGAAUCACUGGGCGUAAAGGGCGCGUAGGCGGCCGAGUAAGUCGUGUGUGAAAGACCGGGGCUCAACUCCGUGUACUGCAUGCGAUACUGCCCGGCUAGAGAAAGGUAGAGGCGAGUGGAAUUCCCGGUGUAGCGGUGGAAUGCGUAGAUAUCGGGAAGAACACCUGUGGCGAAGGCGGCUCGCAGGGCCUUUUCUGACGCUGAAGUGCGAAAGCGUGGGGAGCAAACAGGAUUAGAUACCCUGGUAGUCCACGCCGUAAACGAUGGGCACUAGGCGUUGGGAGGAUUGACCCUCUCAGUGCCGUAGCUAACGCGUUAAGUGCCCCCGCCUGGGGAUACGGCCGCAAGGCUG